AUUGAACGCUGGCGGCAGGCUUAACACAUGCAAGUCGAGCGGGGGCUUCGGUCCUAGCGGCGAACGGGUGAGGAAUGCCUGGGAAUCUGCCUGGUAGUGGGGGAUAACGAUUCGAAAGGGUCGCUAAUACCGCAUACGUCCUACGGGAGAAAGCAGGGGACCUUCGGGCCUUGCGCUAUCAGAUGAGCCCAGGUCGGAUUAGCUAGUAGGUGGGGUAAAGGCUCACCUAGGCGACGAUCCGUAGCUGGUCUGAGAGGAUGAUCAGCCACACUGGAACUGAGACACGGUCCAGACUCCUACGGGAGGCAGCAGUGGGGAAUUUUGGACAAUGGGCGCAAGCCUGAUCCAGCCAUGCCGCGUGAGUGAAGAAGGCCUCGGUUGUAAGCUCUUUCGGUCCGGAGAAAUACGCACAGGUUAAUACCUCGUGUGGAUGACGGUACCGGAAUAAGAAGACACCGGCUAACUACGUGCCAGCAGCCGCGGUAAAGUCUGUACU
rnacentral:rRNA from 1 species